rnacentral:rRNA from 1 species
GACGAACGCUGGCGGCGUGCUUAACACAUGCAAGUCGAACGGUAAGGCCCUUCGGGGUACACGAGUGGCGAACGGGUGAGUAACACGUGGGUAAUCUGCCCUGCACUUCGGGAUAAGCCUGGGAAACUGGGUCUAAUACCGGAUAUUCAGUUCCUGCCGCAUGCUGGGGGUUGGAAAGUUUUUCGGUGCAGGAUGAGCCCGCGGCCUAUCAGCUUGUUGGUGGUGUAAUGGCCUACGAAGGCGACGACGGGUAGCCGACCUGAGAGGGUGAUCGGCCACAAGGGGACCGAGAGACGGCCCAGUCUGCAACGGGAGGCAGCAGUCGGGAAUAUUGCACAAUGGGCGAAAGCCUGAUGCAGCGACGCCGCGUGAGGGAUGACCGUCUUCGGAUUGUAAACCACUGUCAGUAGGGACGAAGCGGAAGUGACGGUACCUGCAGAAGAAGCACCGGCCAACUACGUG